AGGCUGACCCUGAGUGUGUGUGUUCCAUUAUCUUAUUUGUCUUCUACAUUUCAGCAAAAGCCUGGAGGUCCUUGGCAGCUGAGCUAGGGGCUGUACACACGUAAUAAGACAAGUGGUCUUCUCUGCAGUUCAAGAAGAGAGAAACAAGAGCUGGAAACCGAGAAGCAUUAUAUAAAGCACAGCAUGUGCUUGAUGAAGGUACACUUUCUGGUGUUUUGGUUUUUUUUAGUUUUAUGACAUGCACGUUAUAUGGACUGAGCUUUGCCCUGUGGUUGUCCUAUUUUGCAGAGCAAUGGCCUGGAAUAAAAAGUUGUUUGCAGAUUGGGAUGUGCCAUUCUGAAGAGAAAGGGAGGCAGGAGGAUGUACUUCUGUUCAACAGCCCAUCCUUUAGUCGAAGAUCUCAGCAGGCAGGGAAGGAUGAGACCUCCCAUACAACUUGGAAAUGGAAUUUAUGCACACCUGCACACAGCUCUGCCCAAAAAACAAGGACACUGAGCACUGGAUGA
rnacentral:lncRNA from 1 species